rnacentral:rRNA from 1 species
UACAGAGGGUGCGAGCGUUGUUCGGAAUUACUGGGCGUAAAGGGCGCGUAGGCGGUUUAACAAGUCUGUUGUGAAAUCCCGGGGCUUAACCUCGGAAGUGCAGUGGAAACUGUUAGACUAGAGUGCAGUAGAGGUUGGUGGAAUACCCAGUGUAGAGGUGAAAUUCGUAGAUAUUGGGUGGAACACCGGUGGCGAAGGCGGCCAACUGGGCUGCAACUGACGCUGAGGCGCGAAAGCGUGGGGAUCAAACAGG